rnacentral:rRNA from 1 species
UUCUGAGUAAAACAAACAAAUAAAUCAAAACUUUCAACAACGGAUCUCUUGGUUCUGGCAUCGAUGAAGAACGCAGCAAAAUGCGAUAAGUAAUGUGAAUUGCAGAAUUCAGUGAAUCAUCGAAUCUUUGAACGCACAUUGCGCCCGCUGGUAUUCCGGCGGGCAUGCCUGUUCGAGCGUCAUUUCAACCCUCAAGCCCCCGGGUUUGGUGUUGGGGAUCGGCUCUGCCUUCUGGCGGUGCCGCCCCCGAAAUACAUUGGCGGUCUCGCUGCAGCCUCCAUUGCGUAGUAGCUAACACCUCGCAACUGGAACGCGGCGCGGCCAUGCCGUAAAACCCCAACUUCUGAAUGUUGACCUCGGAUCAGGUAGGAAUACCCGCUGAACUUAAGCAUAUCAAUAA